CACCGCGGUUAUACGAGAGGCUCAAAUUGAUAUUCCACGGCGUAAAGCGUGAUUAAAGAAAAUAAAUACUAAAGCCGAACACCUCCUUAACUGUUAUACGUUUAAAGAGACACGAAGCCCCAUAACGAAAGUAGCUUUAACCCAAAAUCUUGAACUCACGAAAGUUAAGAAA
rnacentral:rRNA from 1 species